UCCUGGUGGCUUAGAUGGUAAAGAAUCUGCCUGCAAUGCGGAAGACCCAGGUUCAAUCCCUGGGUCGGGAA
rnacentral:tRNA from 1 species